rnacentral:rRNA from 1 species
CUCUGAUGCUUGAUGCCGCGUGAGUGAAGAAGGCCUUUGGGUUGUAAAGCUCUUUUGUAGGGGAAGAUAAUGACUGUACCCUAAGAAUAAGGUCCGGCUAACUUCGUGCCAGCAGCCGCGGUAAUACGAAGGGACCUAGCGUAGUUCGGAAUUACUGGGCGUAAAGCGCGCGUAGGCCGUUGAGUUAGUUAAUUGUGAAAUCCCAAAGCUUAACUUUGGAACUGCAAUUAAAACUGCUCGACUAGAGUUUGAUAGAGGAAAGCGGAAUACAUAGUGUAGAGGUGAAAUUCGUAGAUAUUAUGUAGAACACCAGUUGCGAAGGCGGCUUUCUGGGUCAACACUGACGCUGAGGCGCGAAAGUAUGGGUAGCAAAGAGGAUUAGAUACCCUCGUAGUCCAUACCAUAAACGAUGAUUGCUAGAUGUUGGAAAUCUAUUUUCAGAUAUCGCAGCUAACGCAUUAAGCAAUCCGCCUGGGGAGUACGACCGCAAGGUUAAAACUCAAAUUGAAUUGACGGGGACCCGAACAAGCGGUGGAGCAUGUGGUUUAAUUCGAAGAUACGCGCAGAACCUUACAAACCUUGACAUGUCUGUCGCGAGUUUAGGAAACUAGACUUUUCGGGUACGCCCGGACAGUACAGG